rnacentral:lncRNA from 1 species
UCUGGCCUUUUAUUUCAAUAUUAACGGAGGAGUUUUUAAAAACAAAAGUAGAACCUGAGAUGAAAAUGAAACUUCCAUCAAUAAUCAAGUCUCUUAAAUUCAGUAAAACUGAUCUGGGGAACAGACCAAUUAGACUUGGAGGUAUAAAGGUAUUCUCAGAACAUGUACCUCCAAAUCAAAUUAUUGCUGAUAUGGAAUUAAUAUACGCUGGGGAUGCAUUAAUAGAGCUGGCACUCGACAAUGGUAUUUCUGGUGGAAUAUCAGAU